rnacentral:rRNA from 1 species
CUACGUAGGGGGCGAGCGUUGUCCGGAAUUACUGGGCGUAAAGCGCGCGCAGGCGGCUUGUUAAGUCAGGUGUCAGAAUGCGGGGCUCAACCCCGUAUCGCACUUGAAACUGGCAGGCUUGAGUGCAGGAGAGGGAAGUGGAAUUCCUAGUGUAGCGGUGAAAUGCGUAGAUAUUAGGAGGAACACCAGUGGCGAAGGCGACUUCCUGGACUGUAACUGACGCUCAGGCGCGAAAGCUAGGGGAGCGAACAGGAUUAGAUACCCUGGUAGUCCUAGCCGUAAACGAUGGGUACUAGGUGUUGGGGGUGACAAUCCCCCAGUGCCGCAGUUAACGCAUUAAGUACCCCGCCUGGGGACUACGGCCGCAAGGCUGAA